AUGCUCAAAUCUGAAGAAGGAUUUGAUUUUGCUCAACCAAGACACACAUGCCCAGGUCUGAUUGAACCAAAUUCCAUUGAAAUGGGUUCAUCAGAAGCUCGAUUAUCUAUUCGGUGAUGGCUAGGGUUUGAGCUCCAGUUUAGGGUUGUAGUAAUGACAGUGGUGGUGAUUGUCGAAAGUGAAGUGGUUGUAGUGAUGGCAGUAGCAACAACAGGAUGGUGAUUCUUGGUGGUGGUAGU
rnacentral:lncRNA from 1 species